rnacentral:piRNA from 1 species
UGAAAUUGAUAAUAAAUGGAAUAUGUCCUG